GGAGUCCCUCUGCCCAUCACGGCCACCCAGCGACCCUGCUGGCCAAGAUGCUGUCUCCAAACAGCUCACGCAGUCUCACAGAGCUGGGGUAACGAAGUCCCCAUCACCAAUCACAAGCUCGUUCUUCAUGUUUUUGCUGUGGAAUGACACACAUCACUUUUGUUCCCAUUUCAUGACCAAGUGACACCAUUCUCGAAGCUGGCACCUCUGCUAGAGAAGAGAGAGGGGACGCGCCACAUGGCGAGGGGAUGUGACAUAUCCGCCACGUUCUUGGAAGGAGCGGAAUGUACCACACAAGGGCCGACUCCAGAUCUGAUCUGGUCAUGGAUCACCUCGGUUUUCCAUGGGGUCAUCAAAAUCAUGGCACCCAGCCUACUGACUUUACAGCGGACAACGCCAUGGCCUGUGAAACUUGAGUGACUUCUGUACACAUCUGCGUGUGCUCCUCUCCUGACUUUUCCAUCCCUUACGUAAGGAAGGAGGUCACUGACCGAAAACAAAGAUGUUGGAGAAGAGGUUGAAGGUUGAGACGAGAGGAGAAGGUAUGAAAUAGACACCUGUGAGGGAAGGGAGGGACACGAAUGGGUUAGGGAAGCAUGGCACAAGUGCCUCCUUGAUGUUCACGGUCCUGGGUUUGAAAUGACACCUGUCAGCGUGAUUGUGUGUUUUUCCCUAGGGAUCUUCAGCUGUGUACAUGAAAGGUGGAGAACUGGAUCUUUUGUCCUCCGGAGAAAAUUUUAAAUGCAGCAAUGUAAAUGUUUCGAGAAUGAACGAUUCACUUCAAACUUUUAUGCCUGCCUGUUUGCCUUGCAUCAUCUUCCCCUACCCCCACGCCUUUCCCUCCCUCGCGCUCUCCCUUCCUUCAUCCCUCCCUUCUUUCCAAAAGCACUUGUGAGUGUCUCCUAGGUAGCUAAUACAGUUGGCCCUUGAACUCACAGUGUGAGUCCACUUAACACGCGGGUGUUUUUCAAUAAAUAUAUUGGGAAAUUUGGGGGAGAUUUUGCCACAAUUUGAAAAAACUCCCAGGUGAAGCACAUAGCCUAGAAAUACUCUAAAAAGUAACACAAAAUUGGGAAUUAUUGUUAAGAUCUCAGUAUAUAAUACGUAUCACAUGCAAGAUAUAUAUUGAUCCAUGCUUUAUGUUAUCUAUAAGGCUUUUGGUCAGUUGACAGCUAUUAGUAAAGUUUUGGGGGAGUCAGGAUUUCUAUGUGAAUUUUCACCUGCAUCGGGCCAGGGCUUGGCAUCCCAACGCUGUGCUGUUCAAGGGUCAGCUGUAGUCCCAUCUGAAACUGAUUAAAAAAAAACAAACCCACAUUUCUUCAGUAAACCUUAUUGAGCAUUUUCUAAGUGCCAGGAGCUCUGUAAGGUACCGUGAAGAUCCAAAAAAAGGAAAGAAAACCCUAGGAGCUCAUCGAAUGGUGAAGAUGGCCCAUGUUCCAUGGUAAUUACAGUGUCAGAUGGAAAUCUGUAAGCCUCAGUUCGAAAAUAGAGCGUUGUGAGAAUUUACAGAAGGAGAGCUUAUUUCUAGCUGGAAAGAAGAGAUCCCUGAUGAUGUGACAGAUUGUAUCUUCCAAGGGUGGCCACACAAUCUCUCCCAUCCCACCUGGUCUUUUAUCAGGAGACUUUGUUACUCUUCCCAUUCAGAGUGGAAGUUGGUGUGUUCUUCUCUUCAAUGGGCUUGUCACUCAUUUGGGCCCAGCAGAAAUGGCACCGUGUAACUUCGGAGGCUAGCCCAGAAAAUGAGAUUGAGUUCCCACCCUGUUGGCUGGGAUAUCAUGGAAAAAGUCCUGAGCCAACACGUGAGAAGUCCAGUUGCCCUGAGGCUGCGAGAAAGCCCAGGCCACAUGGAAAGCCUACUUGUGUAUGCUCUGGUUGACAUUCCCAGCUGAGGUCCUGGCUGACAGUCAGCAUUCUCGGUGGACGUGUGAGGGAAGGCACCUUCACACGAUUCUCGCCCCCAUGACCAUGGCUUCCCAGCUUGGGCAUCAUCAGACAUCCCGGAGCAGAGUCAAGCCGUCCUCACUACACUCCAAAUUCCCGACCCACGGAAUUUGGGAACAUUAGAAAAUGGUUGUUUUACACCACUGAGUCUAAGAGGGGCUUGCCAGGUUGCAGUAGUUAUCAGAACAGAAGAUUUCUUGAAAGAGGGAAUAUGUCAAUGUUUAGGUGUGAAGACAGCGUGAUACUAAAUGAGGGUGGUGAUUUUAUUGUGCAGGGAACCUGUUGAAUUUCCCUUUCACGUUUGAUGUUCUGGCUGUUGAACAGUCUUGUGGAAGUAUCUCUAGAUAUUUAUUUAUCUGAUUCCAGGACAUUUCGAAGGUUUUGGAAAGCGGUUCUUCCUUGCUAUUUCAUUCUGUGAUGACCCCGUACCAUCAAAUACACUUUAGCAGAACCGAGUCUUGAAGAGAGUUAACUUCCUUCCUUCCUUCCCUCCCUCCUUCCCUCCUUCCUUCCUUCCUUUCUUCCUUCCUUCCUUCCUUCCUUCCUUCCUUCCUUCCUUCCUUCCUUCCUUCCUUCCUUCCUGUUUUAAUAUUGUAUUUUUGAGACAGAGACAGAGAGCAAGUGGAGCAAGGGGCAGAGAGAGGGAGACCCAGAAUCCAAA